UGGGCUAUGUUCUUCCGUUAACGCUUGGGCCGUUACUUUUUAUUAGGCCUUGGAAAAAAAGAAAAUAGACGAGCAAGCAAACCUUCGACGCACAGGCGAGCAGUUGACUAAAAAAAAGAAACACACGAGCACGGCCUCUCCUCAAUGUGCACGGUACAGCCGCCGCCGCCACGCGCGGCCGGUCUUCCACUCCGUCUUGCCGCCACCCUGCUUCCCCCUCCCAUCCGCCGGCACAGCUGAGGUUGGGUACGCUGUCGUCCAGCGCCGGCGGCGAGCACGCUCCCCUGACUCCGUGUCCUUGUCCAACGCAAAUCAAUGAAGCUGCCGACCCGGAUUGUUGUUGGCUGCUAAAGAAGGGAGGGUCCUCGGCUCGAAUAGCCAUCAGGUCAAUUUUGGACGAAGCAUCCAACGUCGACACCGAGUUCAAUGCAGGAAGAAGCGCCGAGUUCGCCGGAGGUAGAAGAAGCGCCGAGUUUGCCGGAGGUAGAAGAACAGCCGUCGAUCCGUCCAAUGUCGCCUGCGUCGGCUACAGCAGAGGUAUGUAUCCCCUUAACCCCUGUUUUGAGUUAUUUUUCUGUCCCUGUUUCUCUGUGUACCUUCUAAUAUGGAGUUCAGAGGUGAAGAUAUUGUUGCGAAGUACGUCAGUUUAGAUAUCGUUGCCUUCUUGUGAUUGUAGACACCCAUGUUGUGUGGUUGGUCUGUUGAACAAAGCACUGGAACUGUCAGCAAUUCAUUCAGGUAGUGUUGUCCUCUGAGCAGAGAAAACAAAAUUCAGUAAUUGCUGGUGGGUUCUGAUCCAUCUGGACGGAACUGAACUUCUAAACAUGCAGAGGCAUGUUAGAUAUAUAUAUUAUAUAUUAUAUAUACCAUCGUAGUCCCUCGACGCCGGUCAAUAUCCUUGCCGGAGCCUCGCCUGCCGGCUCCUUGGAGCACGCUGCCCGCCGGUGGACACCCAAUUGUGCGCGAACCCGCCGAGGACUGACCUCGCCACCUCUGUGCCUCCCCCAAGAUCUCCGCCACCGCCUUGUGCUGCUGUGCGCAAGGAUACCGCUGCCUCUCCCUGGUACAUCCAUCUCCACUUCCUCGGGGCGCUGCUCGCUGGCUCAUGACCUGCUAUAGAGUUGACGUUUGCGCACACAAGUUCCCCUGUCUUGACCUCCUCCUCCUUGCUCACGCUGCCGCCGUGGCGCGCCGCUUCGGCCUUCCAUCCAUGUCUGCCGCCACACGCCUUCUACGAGGUAUGCUGCGUCGUUGGUAACCGUUGGAGAAGCCGCCCGCUCCAUGUGUAUUACGUCAAGGCAACGGCCCUGUUGCACAACGACGUCGGGGAGCACGGCCCAAAGCACAAGCUCGACGACCUUAGGGAGCAGAGGAGUGGGUACGCGGCGUCCAGAACGAGCACCCUGUCCAUGGCGUCCUGUAUGUCGGCCUUGGUCGCCGUUGUCAGUGGCGAAGAGCACGGGCUAUGCGCAGAGGUAGCUCCAUUUAAAGCCUCGUGGCGUUUCGCUGCUUCUCCGUUAGCGGCGAGUACUUGUUCAUGCCGAGGGCUCAAGGACCCAUCAGGACGCCUCGAGGGCAGAUCCUGUGAUUGCGGCCAUGAGCCCAUGACAGAGGAUGAGUUUACCUCUUACCUGCCAUGUGUGCAGACAUGAAGGCAUGCGCAGGAUAGAGCAGCGGGUAGUGGCACCGCUCCUGGAGUCCCGGUUGCCGUGCAGUGCAGGAAGAAGAAGAUGGAGUCAAGAAGAGCGGCAGCGUGCCGCAGCACUGUUCGGUGCACGGCGGAUGUUCAGUUUCUUCUCUGUCCAAGAUGCCAUCGGGAAUGCCCAGAUAUGGCCGAGGUGCCGCCGGAGGCCGCGCCCACCUUGCACAGAUGCCCGGCGUCUCCACCGUUUUCGUCUGUCAUGUUAGCGUCGCCUUUUUUUUCUUGGCUGAGAUGUUGCUGACGCCGCCCAGUUUUGGUUCGGAAGUCGUCGCCGGCGUGUUGGACAGAUGCAGCUACCGAGUUAAGGAUGAUGUUUCUUUCCUUGAAGCUAUCAUCAUUGGUGUUCAGAAACCAAUGAACCACCAAGCGUGAAAGAAAUCCCACAGCAGCAGCGCUAACAAGAUACCAUUGAUCCUACUACAGUAUGUACUCCCUGUUUAGAUCCGUUAAGGGCCAAUGUCAAUCAAGCAUAUAUUGUAACAGUUAACUGCAGCAGUAAAUAAUCACCUUCA